AAAAUCAAUACUAGGUCCGUCAACAGGAUGUUGGCGGGAACAGGACAAAGCCUAAAGGAUUGGGUAUCUUCAGGAUGAAGAUUUGAUGACUUAGGAUGAGUUAUCAGCAAGGAAGUGACACUCUGGGAUAGAGUUACGCCCGUCAGGAUGACAGGCCAGCAAGGACACCGCUAGGAAGGCGAUGUAACAAGGAUUAGGUUAAAGGAUUUAGCCAAUAUCAUGGAUAGAUGCAGGGAGCACUAUCAGUAGCUGGAUUGCUGCGAAAGAGAAUAAGCCCCGUCUGGGAAACCAGGCGGGGUUUUAUUUUAU
rnacentral:other from 1 species